CGGAAGGAAGCAGCGGCAGAAAUCUCAGGCAUGGU
rnacentral:SRP_RNA from 14 species